rfam:Daphnia pulex DAPPTscaffold_6_Cont439, whole genome shotgun sequence.
CAAACGGCCCUUUUCGGGCCACCAAACGUUUAAAGAAAGGAAAAA